UACGGAGGGUGCGAGCGUUGUCCGGAAUCACUGGGCGUAAAGGGCGCGUAGGCGGCGCGAGCAGUCGGCGGUGAAAGCCCGGAGCUCAACUCCGGGUCGGCCGUCGAUACUCUCGUGCUCGAGCACUGUAGAGGCAGGUGGAAUUCCGGGUGUAGCGGUGAAAUGCGCAGAUAAUCAGGAAGAACACCAAUGGCGAAAGCAGCUCUCUGGGAACGGUACUGACGGCUGAGACGGCGAAAGCGUGGGGAGCGAAACAGG
rnacentral:rRNA from 1 species